AUACGGAGGGUGCAAGCGUUAUCCGGAAUCAUUGGGUUUAAAGGGUCCGCAGGCGGACUAAUAAGUCAGUGGUGAAAUCCUCUCGCUUAACGAGAGAACUGCCAUUGAAACUGUUAGUCUUGAAUUCGGUCGAAGUAGGCGGAAUGUGUCAUGUAGCGGUGAAAUGCAUAGAUAUGACACAGAACACCGAUAGCGAAGGCAGCUUACUAGACCUGGAUUGACGCUCAUGGACGAAAGCGUGGGGAGCGAACAGAAUUAGAAACCCUAGUAGUCC
rnacentral:rRNA from 1 species